CCUACGGGUGGCAGCAGUGGGGAAUAUUGCACAAUGGGGGAAACCCUGAUGCAGCGACGCCGCGUGAGGGAAGACGGUUUUCGGAUUGUAAACUUCUGUUCUUAGGGAAGAAAAAUGAGGGACGCGAAGGAGCAAGCCACGGCUAACUACGUGCCAGCAGCCGCGGUAAUACGUAGGUGGCAAGGGUUGUCCGGAUUUACUGGGUGUAAAGGGAGCGCAGGCGGGAAGCCAAGUCAGCGGUGAAAACUACGGGCUUAACUUGUAGACUGCAGUUGAAACUGGGUUUCUUGAGUGAAGUAGAGGUAGGCGGAAUUCCGGGUGUAGCGGUGAAAUGCGUAGAUAUUAGGAGGAACACCGGUGGCGAAGGCGGCCAACUGGGCUGUAACUGACGCUGAGGCUCGAAAGCGUGGGGAGCAAACAGGAUUAGAUACCCUAGUAGUC
rnacentral:rRNA from 1 species